UGCUGUUGUCGAACUGUAAUAUACAGUAGCAACUAGCUGGAACAGAGCUGUAUCGCCCGGACGGAUCCAUUAAGCCUGGCUACAGACCCCCAGGAACAGUGUUUUCCUGAUUUUGAGAACCUGGAGACAAGACUCCUCUGAACAAUGGGAUGCAUAAGGUCCAAAAGUGAGGAAGGU